CCUACGGGAGGCUGCAGUGGGGAAUAUUGCGCAAUGGGCGAAAGCCUGACGCAGCGACGCCGCGUGAGGGAUGAAGGUCUUCGGAUCGUAAACCUCUGUCAGCAGGGAAGAACGGUCACUGUGCUAAUCAGCAGUGAAUUGACGGUACCUGCAAAGGAAGCACCGGCUAACUCCGUGUCAGCAGCCGCGGUAAUACGGAGGGUGCGAGCGUUAAUCGGAGUUACUGGGCGUAAAGCGCUCGUAGGCGGUAUGUCAAGUCAAGGGUGAAAUCCCCGCGCUCAACGUGGGAACUGCCUUUGAAACUGGCAAACUGGAGUGUGUGAGAGGAUAGUGGAAUUCCAGGUGUAGGAGUGAAAUGCGUAGAUAUCUGGAGGAACAUCAGUGGCGAAGGCGACUAUCUGGCACAUAACUGACGCUGAGGAGCGAAAGCGUGGGUAGCAAACAGGAUUAGAUACCCUGGUAGUC
rnacentral:rRNA from 1 species